UACAGAGGUCCCAAGCGUUUGUUCGGAUUCAUUGGGCGUAAAGGGUGCGUAGGUGGCGCCGUAAGUCGGGUGUGAAAUCUUGGAGCUUAACUCCGAAACUGCAUUCGAUACUGCCGUGCUUGAGGACUGGAGAGGAGACUGGAAUUUACGGUGUAGCGGUGAAAUGCGUAGAUAUCGUAAGGAAGACCAGUGGCGAAGGCGGGUCUCUGGACAGUUCCUGACGCUGAGGCACGAAGGCCAGGGGAGCAAACGGG
rnacentral:rRNA from 1 species